AUACGGAGGAUCCGAGCGUUAUCCGGAUUUAUUGGGUUUAAAGGGUGCGCAGGCGGCCAUUUAAGUCAGCGGUUAAAUCGUGGGGCUCAACCCCAUUCUGCCGUUGAUACUGGGUGGCUUGAUUGCGGUCGAGGUUGGCGGAAUUCGUUGUGUAGCGGUGAAAUGCAUAGAUAUGACGAAGAACACUGAUUGCGUAGGCAGCUGACCAGACCGCAAAUGACGCUCAUGCACGAAAGUGCGGGGAUCGAACAUGAUUAGAUACCCUGGUAGUCCGCACAGUAAACGAUGAAUACUUGUUUUCGGCGAUAUAAUGUCGGAGGCAAAGCGAAAGCGAUAAGUAUUCCACCUGGGGAGUACGCCGGCAACGGUGGAACUCAAAGGAAUUGACGGGG
rnacentral:rRNA from 1 species